CUGAAUUGAAGAAGGCAAGAGCUGCGGGAAAACAAUCAAGAAUUGUUAAGGAUAAAAUGAUUAUUGCCUUCAAUAAUCAAUUUAUCCUUAACAAUUCUUGAUUGUUUUCCCGCAGCUCUUGCCUUCUUCAAUUCAGG